UUUAUAUAGUUUUGAAAUAUUUACAUGGCCCAAACAAAUCAUAAAAUAUUUCCAAAAUCAUGUGUACCUUUGUUGCUUAUGAAUGUGAGACUGACAUAAUUUCAUGGUGACAAUGACACAUGUCUCAACAGUUCCCCAGCAGUAAUGAAAACUAAUAGGGAAAAAAUCAAUUAAAAUUGGUUUUAUAUAGCUUUUUUAUAGCUAAUGCAAGUCUUUGUCCAGUUUUAAAUAGCUCUUCUAAUUUUUCUUUGGUACAAAUGUUCUUAAUGGAUUGAAACAUGGGAGUAGAAUUCCAUACAAAGUUAAUUUAUCUGCUCACUAAUAACUAACUUAGGAUUUCAUUUUCUACAAAAUGGUAACAACAUCUGCUUUAUUUAAACUUAAAUAGUACUCUAUGAGAAAGAUACCCCAUGAAUAGAAAUAGCCAUGCUUGACCCUCAGUUGCAUUAUAAUAAUUCAGGUCAUUACAUAGCUGUCAUUCUGUCUAUACAGAUAACAACUAAAUAUUUCAGUAUCAUUUGAUAUAUGUAUAGAGUUUAACUUGGGAAUAAAUAUAUGACUACUAUGAAAAAUAACAGAAUUCAUGGCUACUUUUAAUGCAAUAAAGUUGUAGAACAAACAUUUUGCAAAAUAUAUUCAUCAAGAAUUCCUUAGAUAGCUAGCAAGUUAGACGUGAGAUUGAUCUCCCAAAUCCACGUUAAAAACAAGACAAAAACCGAAAACUAAGACCAAAACCAAGACCAAAACAACAACAAUGAACAAACAUGCGUGCAAGGUCAUGAUUCUUGUAUUCUGACCAACACAUAUACACAUGCACACCAGUGAACAUGCACAGAACACAUGCACAUAAUAAGUUGACAUAAAAUAAUCAUUUAAUGAUAAGGUUAAAUUACGGUCCUCUUAUGGAAAUAAAGCUUUAACUCAAUGAGGAGUAGAAAACAUAAAAAAAAAUUAUGAGCCAAUUUCCCAUUUUUUGCAUUAGAAAGAAAGAAGAAAUAAUUCACAAACAUUUCGUACAAGCUUAGCUGACAAUUAUUUUCAUGUUUCACUCAGGACUUCCUUCUUAAGGUUUUGAUCAAAUUAGAUGCACUGCUCAGAAGACAAAUGGCAUCACAGGACAGGUAUUAUGGAUCUUAGUUAAAGAUUAUGCAGAUUGCUCUGGGAAAGUAGUGAUUCAUCAAACAACAUGAAGAUGUCAUUGACAUUAGAUCCCACAGGACCGAUGCGUGGUCUUUCUGUGGUACUGUACUCCUUAUGAUGGCUUUCUUAAGGUCCCCAUCACCUCCUACUGUAAUUGUUGAUUCAUAAGCUUUCUUUCUCACUACAAGUUGUCUGAGUACGCAUGGUCCUUAAAUUACCUAUCAUCCCUUUCAAACUUAUGGCAGUACUCAGUAAAUGGGAAGUGAAUUAGUAAAUGUAUGAAUGAGAAGUGAGGCGUUAGAACUAAAAUGAAGGGAAGUCAUAUUAGAUCACGUAUCAGUUGGGUAGACAGAACGAAAUAUCAGACUUCUAAUUUUUGUGCUACCCAACACAUCGAACUAUUAGUAUCCUUUAGUGAGGAAGCAGAAUAAUGGUGAUAAAAGAUCUUUCCUUAUUUAUUUUUUGUCACAUAAGGGCAUAUAAUCUUUGUAGUCACAAAAAGUCUUUGACUUUACUGAUUUCAAUUGUUUUAUGAACUUCUCCUUACAGCCAUGUUUUGCUGCCUCAUUAUUCAGAGAACUUUAGUUACAUAUAUGAUUACACACACUUAUAUUAUUCAAACAGUUGUCUUUCAAGAAACAAAGAUAAGUUUGUGUGUAAAGGAUGCUAUUUCCCCUAAAAUGUCGUCUUAGUCAUUAAAGAGGAGUAAAAAUAGAUACAAUUUUGACACUUUAGGAGUAGUCAUCUGCUCUUGGAAAGAUAUAAAUGUGUUUUGUUCCUUUCCUCAAACUGAGCCAAAUUAUUCCCUUCCUAAAACCCGAGAUUAUAUUUUUCUCCAAAACCAAUUUCUGAUAUGAUAUGAUUUAUGAUCAAGUAAUUGACUUGCAAACACCUUAAAUGAACUUUCAAUAAGCCAUCAAAUGUUGUUGAUGGAUGCCACAUGAAAGGAUCCAGCAGCCAUCUGGAGAAGUGUUGGGCAAUCAGGCUACCAUUUUCGAAUUUGAGAAAGCAAUCCAAAAGAGAAUGGGAAGAGGACUGCAGCAGAUGGCUGUCCAGCUGAAGUAGACAAGUGUGGGUACACAGCAGAGAGUAGCUACUUUCACCACUUGCUCAAGACCAUUGUACACUGAGACAUGUAGGCAUUUGAGGGACACCCCUCUCUCUCUCUCUCUCUCUCUCUCUCUCUCUCUCUCUCUCUCUCUCUCUCUCUCUCUCUCUAAGAGGCAACCACAAAGGGGCUGAGUGAGGACUGUAAACUACUUUGUUAAUUCACAGGAAAUCACAGACCAGUUUGACUGAAUUCAUUCUAAUGUUAAAACACGUAUGUAUACAAGAUCAAUAAUAAUUUACUUUGAGAUCUCCAUAAAUAUCUUCUUUAAAACAUCAGGGUUAAAAAGUCUAUAUAAUAUAUAGAAGCAUGAGUUAAUUUUGAAGUAAAUGAGUUAAUUUUAAUACUUUUUAAGUAAAAGGAAAUAAAAGACAAAUGUUAUCUAAAUUUGAGGUGUUACCUACUUUUCUUUUGUUUUUUGCUAUAAACCCAACAACUAUACUGUUUGAGAUUAUAAUUACUUGGUAACACUAACCAAAUAAAGCAACAUAACAUGAAAAUAUUGAAAGGCUUCAUAUUUUUAGUUUGGGUUAUAAUAUUAAGCAAGUGCACAUGAUUCUUGUUACAGAGGAAAGUUAUAAUUUGUCAAAGGCCUUUGGGGGAGGUAUGUGUGUGUUUCACUGUGAAAUACAACUACGCAUUUGCUCCUAAUCGCCAGGAAUCCUGAAUGGUCUUAAAUAAAGCAGGGGACUCUGUAAAGAUAUAUUCAUUCAUGGUUUCCAUCUCUGAAAUACUACUAGCAGUCUCUUUAAUUGUGGAUUUAACUCAGUUAUUGGUAAGCUUAAUCUCUAAAGUGCAAGC
ensembl:processed_transcript Gm26871 predicted gene, 26871